CCUACGGGAGGCAGCAGUGAGGAAUAUUGGUCAAUGGACGAGAGUCUGAACCAGCCAAGUAGCGUGAAGGAUGACUGCCCUAUGGGUUGUAAACUCCUUUUAUAUGGGAGUAAAAUGUUCCACGUGUGGGAUUUUGUAUGUACCAUAUGAAUAAGGAUCGGCUAACUCCGUGCCAGCAGCCGCGGUAAUACGGAGGAUCCGAGCGUUAUCCGGAUUUAUUGGGUUUAAAGGGAGCGUAGGUGGAUUGUUAAGUCAGUUGUGAAAGUUUGCGGCUCAACCGUAAAAUUGCAGUUGAAACUGGCAGUCUUGAGUACAGUAGAGGUGAGCGGAAUUCGUGGUGUAGCGGUGAAAUGCGUAGAUAUCACGAAGAACUCCGAUUGCGAAGGCAGUUCACUGGACUGCAACUGACACUGAGGCUCGAAAGUGUGGGUAUCAAACAGGAUUAGAUACCCGGGUAGUC
rnacentral:rRNA from 1 species